rnacentral:rRNA from 1 species
GCAUACCACGCUGAACAUGCCUGAUAUCCUCUGAUCUCGGAAACUAAGCAGGGGGUGGGCCUGGUUAGUACUUGGAUGGGGAGAAAAGAGGUCAAAAAAGCA